rnacentral:rRNA from 2 species
GCUUACCAUGCAGUCGUACGAUGGAUAGCCCAGCUUGCUGGGUGGAUUAGUGGCGAACGGGUGAGUAACACGUGAGUAACCUGCCCUUAACUCUGGGAUAAGCCUGGGAAACUGGGUCUAAUACCGGAUAGGAGCGUCCACCGCAUGGUGGGUGUUGGAAAGAUUUAUCGGUUUUGGAUGGACUCGCGGCCUAUCAGCUUGUUGGUGAGGUAAUGGCUCACCAAGGCGACGACGGGUAGCCGGCCUGAGAGGGUGACCGGCCACACUGGGACUGAGACACGGCCCAGACUCCUACGGGAGGCAGCAGUGGGGAAUAUUGCACAAUGGGCGCAAGCCUGAUGCAGCGACGCCGCGUGAGGGAUGACGGCCUUCGGGUUGUAAACCUCUUUCAGUAGGGAAGAAGCGAAAGUGACGGUACCUGCAGAAGAAGCACCGGCUAACUACGUGCCAGCAGCCGCGGUAAUACGUAGGGUGCGAGCGUUAUCCGGAAUUAUUGGGCGUAAAGAGCUCGUAGGCGGUUUGUCGCGUCUGUCGUGAAAGUCCGGGGCUUAACCCCGGAUCUGCGGUGGGUACGGGCAGACUAGAGUGCAGUAGGGGAGACUGGAAUUCCUGGUGUAGCGGUGGAAUGCGCAGAUAUCAGGAGGAACACCGAUGGCGAAGGCAGGUCUCUGGGCUGUAACUGACGCUGAGGAGCGAAAGCAUGGGGAGCGAACAGGAUUAGAUACCCUGGUAGUCCAUGCCGUAAACGUUGGGCACUAGGUGUGGGGACCAUUCCACGGUUUCCGCGCCGCAGCUAACGCAUUAAGUGCCCCGCCUGGGGAGUACGGCCGCAAGGCUAAAACUCAAAGGAAUUGACGGGGGCCCGCACAAGCGGCGGAGCAUGCGGAUUAAUUCGAUGCAACGCGAAGAACCUUACCAAGGCUUGACAUGUUCUCGAUCGCCGUAGAGAUACGGUUUCCCCUUUGGGGCGGGUUCACAGGUGGUGCAUGGGUUGUCGUCAGCUCGUGUCGUGAGAUGUUGGGGUUAAGUCCCGCA